ensembl:lncRNA
GCCCAAUCACGUGAAGAGCGCCCUGGCAACCCCACGUGCUGCGGAUUAGUGCACUUCCGGCGUGAAGAGCACUUUCUGGAGUCUCGGUUGCUGAGGGUAAACUCGCCGGCAAGGAAACGCUCUUUCAAAGUGUUGGGUUUGUUGGCUUCGGGAUCUAGCUGCAGUGAAUGUUAGCCAGGUCACUCGCUUGGUGUCCCCUGCCCUCAGGUGCGUGGCAGUUGUCACGUGACGGUCGUCGGAACUCAAGAGGCGAGCAAAUUCAACGGUGUCCCGCGUGGCUGCGCAGGAAACUUUGGGUUCGAACUCCUGGCCCAGCUUGCAGAUCUUCCUCGGUGGUCAGGCCCACGCUUGUUCCUCGAGGAAGAGUUCAAGCACAGUAUUCAAUUACCCGGCUCUGCACUGCGGCCUCCGUGGUCCCUAGUCACUCGUGAUGAGAUUCUGGUGGCGACUGCCGCUGGGUGCCCCGCCAGGGUCGGCAGCAUUCUCAGGUGCGAGCACUCCUGAGACAUUGCGAAUAAACAGCAGCAGUGAAGUGACCAGAGGCUGUGAUGGAGUGGUUGAGGCCAAUGGGUGUCUGACUCCUACAGCAUUGUCCAGUCCAGAAAGGUGGCUUGCCGAACUCAUCUCUUCUUUCCUCCUGGCGUUGGCUUUCCUUCCGGUCUGAGGAAGAAAACUGGAAAAUUCACAGAUAUGUGGAGAUUAAACAACAUGCUAUUGAACAACCAGUGGGUCAAGAAGAAAUCAAAAGAGAAAUAAAAAAAAUACCUUGAGACAAAUGAAAAUGGAAACAACAUACUCAAACUCAUGGAAUGCCACAAAAGUAAUUCUAAGAGGGAAAUUUACACCAAUAAAUGCCUAAAUUAAGAAAAAAGAAAGAUCUCAAAUAAGCAACCUAACUUUACAUCCCACGGAACUAGAAAACUAAGAACAAACUAAGCCUAAAGUUAAUAGAAGAAAGGAAAUAACAACGAUCAGAGUGAAAACCAAUGAAAUAGAGACUAGAAAGGCAAUAGAAACGAUCAGUAAAACUAAGAGCUGGUUUUGAAAAAAGCUAAACAAAAUAGGCAAACCUUUAGCUAGACCUAUGAGGAAAAAAGAGAGAGGACUCAAGUAAAAUUAUAAAUGAAAGAAAAGACGUUACAACUGAUAUCACAUAAAUACAAAGGAUCAGAAAAGACCACUGUGAACAAUUAUAUCUCAAUUGGACAACUGAGAGGAAAUGAAUACAUUCCUAGAAACAUACAACCUACCAAGACUGAAUCACGAAAAACAGAAAAUCUGAACAGGACAAUUACUAGUAAGGAGACUGAAUCAGUAAUCAAAAUCUCGCAGCAAAGGAAAGUCAAGGACCUGAUGGCUUCACUGGUGAAUUCUACCACACAUUUAAGGAAGACUUAAUACCUGUCCUCCUCAAACCUUUCAAAAAAAUUGAAGAGGAAGGAUCGCUUCUAAACUAAUAUUCUGAGGCCAUGAUUACCCUGAUACCAAAACCAGACAAGGACACUACAAGAAAAGAAAAUUACAGGUCAACAUCCCUGAUGAGCAUAGAUCCAAAAAUCCUAAAA